AUUGAACGCUGGCGGCAGGCCUAACACAUGCAAGUCGAGCGAGCGGCGGACGGGUGAGUAAUGUAGGGGGAUCUGCCCGAUAGGGGGGUAUAACUACGGGAAACGGGGGCUAAUACCGCAUAAUAUCAGAUGCACACAUAUGGGUUGAGCUAGUAGGUGGGGUAAACGCUCACCGAGGCGACGAUCUCUAGCGGGUCUGAGAGGAUGAUCAGCCACACUGGGACUGAGACACGGCCCAGACUCCUACGGGAGGCAGCAGUGGGGAAUAUUGCACAAUGGGCGCAAGCCUGAUGCAGCCAUGCCGCGUGUAUGAAGAAGGCCUUAGGGUUGUAAAGUACUUUCAGCGGGGAGGCGUUACCCGCAGAAGAAGCACCGGCUAACUCCGUGCCAGCAGCCGCGGUAAUAC
rnacentral:rRNA from 1 species